AGAAGAAGAAGAAGAAGAAAGAAAGAAACAUAUGAUAUGUGAUGAUGCUGUAAUCUAAACCAAAGGAGCAGUGAGACUGAGGUUAAAAACACAAUCUUAGCCUCAUCAUCAUGACCAUGAUUACAAACAACACACUACUGUUCUGAUCAUGGUUAAUUAGUUGCAGCAAAACCUUCCUGAUCAAUAGUCUACUUUCUCUUUUGUACUCCCUGAAGCUAGCCAUUUGAUCUCAUUAAUCUCCUACUCUGAAGGACAAAUCCAUGAAUCGACGGUACCUUCACCUCUUAGAGGAACAUUCUCCAAACUUUUGUCAUGGUGAAAAUCCGAUGAAGGAGCUGAGUAGUUUAACUUACAGCUAUCAAGAGACCUCAAGUGAUCUUGAUUCCCAUUGUUGUUUGAUCCUAAAGCAUCAUUCCUCAAUAGCAUCCCUUCUGUUGUUCCGUGACUCUGUAGUCCACCCACUUUUACAUUAAUUUGUCCAUGGCUCAUACCCAGUUCCUCAAGCGAAGGUAAAGACAUGUUCGCUUGAGACUUUGCACCCAAACCAUCGGUAUUAAGUGAGGGGUGAAGAGCAGUAGGCUGUAGAAGGGACUGAAAUGAGAGCAUUUGGUUUUGCAUGUUUAACAUAUUUUGAGGUUGUUUGGGAAGGCCUAUAUCAGAAGGCAGUUGAUAGUUAAUAGAAGCUGGAUUGAAAUUACUAGAUGUGGUUGGAAUGGAUAAGGUCAUUGUAUUGUUAUCAUUGGUAGUAGUAGCAGUAUUUGUAGCAUCGACCAUAUUAUUGUUCAACAAUGAAAAGGAAGAAGAAGAUGAGGAGGAGAAUAAAAAUGAAGAUGGUUGAUGAACCUUCUGAGCCGAGGGACGAAAAGGGUAAAGUGAGCCCAUUGUUUCCAACUGGCCAGACCUCAUACUCGACCCAACUGUGCCAAAAAGAUCGAGCCUGCGAGAAUACGGCGAGCCUGAAAAUGGUGGUGCUGGGAUCCCUGUGAACUCUUGCACCAUUGCUCUAAAAUUGGACGCGUCCGUGUUGAGAACUGUAGUGGGCGCCCUUCUGGAUGCCCUUGUUCGCUUCUUGGGAUUUCGGGCUACUGCAGGGAUUUGAUCAGAAGGAGAAGAAGAGCGAGCUCCAUUGUCUUGUACGGAUCUCAAUUGCAUAGAUGGAAGCGGACCUUGAUUUGAUCCUUGAGCACCCAAGAAUGAUUGGCUUGAUGAUGCUCGGGAAACUAGAAGGUUGCUAUUGAGGUCGGUGCAAUACGGGUCAGAUCUCAAGCCUCGUGGCCGAACCACGUCGAUGUUUAGUAGUGAGGUAUUGGGAUUUGGGUUUGUGGGCGACUGAGAGAAAGCAUGGAAAAGAUUUGGUGAAGGAUCAAACAAAGUGGGUUGUUGGUGGUGAGUGAAAAGGGAAGGCUGGUGUUGUGGGUUUGCAGAUAAAGGACCGAAGUGGCUAGAAGGAUUCAAGAAAGCUGGGAGUGACUCGGGCCUUGAAUCAUACUCUUCAUCACCACUUGAGGAUUGCAUACUACCACUAUUUCCAGAAUCCAUUACUUAAAUGAAAAGGAAAAAAGACAAAGAAAUUAGUUUUUGAUGGCGGAGCCCGAAAAGGAGAUGGUGAUAGUUGCCAAGUUGCACAGGCGGAAAAGAUAAUUUGAAAGAGCAAUUAUGGGGAUGCUGCAAAACAACCCAUCAGCAACCAAAUCGAGACUGAAUAAUUAACCACUAUAUAUCUUCUAAAUCAGCUUUAAAGAAAGUUCCCAUAUCUUUUAAAGCCUGAUCUGAAAUGGAGGCAAUAUCUCUUCCUUGUCUUGCACUAUCAACAAAAGUUUCUGUGAAAAGAAAAGAAAAUUUGGGCACAGAUGUUGAUUACGAUGGCUAGAGAGAAAAGCAGCAGCAAACCAAAAACAAACGGAGGUUGAACUGUAAAAGGCUAAUGGCAUAUGUGAGAUGUGAGGCCC
rnacentral:misc_RNA from 1 species